rnacentral:rRNA from 1 species
GAUGAACGCUGGCGGCGUGCUUAACACAUGCAAGUCGAACGGUGAAGGCGGAGCUUGCUCUGCUGGAUCAGUGGCGAACGGGUGAGUAACACGUGAGCAAUCUGCCCCUGACUCUGGGAUAAGCGCUGGAAACGGCGUCUAAUACUGGAUACGAGCUGCGAAGGCAUCUUCAGCAGCUGGAAAGAAUUUCGGUCAGGGAUGAGCUCGCGGCCUAUCAGCUUGUUGGUGGGGUAAUGGCUCACCAAGGCGUCGACGGGUAGCCGGCCUGAGAGGGUGACCGGCCACACUGGGACUGAGACACGGCCCAGACUGCUACGGGAGGCAGCAGUGGGGAAUAUUGCACAAUGGGCGAAAGCCUGAUGCAGCAACGCCGCGUGAGGGACGACGGCCUUCGGGUUGUAAACCUCUUUUAGCAGGGAAGAAGCGAAAGUGACGGUACCUGCAGAAAAAGCGCCGGCUAACUACGUG